rnacentral:rRNA from 1 species
AACGAACGCUGGCGGCAUGCCUAACACAUGCAAGUCGAACGAGACCUUCGGGUCUAGUGGCGCACGGGUGCGUAACGCGUGGGAACCUGCCCUUAGGUUCGGAAUAACUCCCCGAAAGGGGUGCUAAUACCGGAUAAUGUCUUCGGACCAAAGAUUUAUCGCCUUUGGAUGGGCCCGCGUUGGAUUAGCCAGUUGGUAGUGUAAAAGCCUACCAAGGCGACGAUCCAUAGCUGGUCAGAGAGGAUGAUCAGCCACACUGGGACGGAGACACGGCCCGGACUCCUAGGGAAGGCAGGAGUGGGGAAUAUUGGAGAAUGGGGGAGGGCCUGAUAGAGCAAUGGUGCGAAAGUGAUGAAGGCCUUAAGGUUGUGCAGCUCGUUUACACGCGGUGAUAAUGAAGGUACCGGAAGAAUAAGCACCGGCUAACUCCGUG